AUUAUUAUAGCUCUCCAUAAAAGACUUUGGAAAAGUCCCUCUCAUCCUAGGGAUGAAGAUCUAUAGAGAUAGAUUUAGGAGGCUGCUUGGGUUUUCCCAGUCCAGCAUACAUAGGGUGUUUAUGAGUAGAAUUUAUUCUAUCAUGUACACUAUAUAUGAGACUGAAUAUGGUAUACUUAUUAGGGUAGUGAGUGGAUACCUGCA
rnacentral:lncRNA from 1 species